AUAUUCUCUAUCCUUUACCCUUAAGCGGAGUUAUCCACAAAUUGUUAUAGUUUUUAUAUUAUUCCUUUUAUCUUAUGUAAAUAUUGAUCGCCACAUUUAACUCCGCGGAUGCUGGAGCGCAUCACUCGUAUCUGUUCUGUGUUAUGUUGGAUCGUCUGCAAGAAAUGUGGCUGGUUGUCUCCCGGCUUAACCCGGAGCCGAGCCUGUCCGUGACUAUCACCUAUGGGGCUUAUUGAAGGAACCACCUCAGAUAUGAGUGAUCUAGACCCGAGCACCUAUACACCCGUCUGUGCACAUACACUUAAUGAACAAGAACCAAACAGUAAAGAUAUUUAAAUCAUGACGCUUUGCUUCUUUUUGUGGCUGUUUUUCAGAUUUAAACAACGCAGACAGAGCACAGGGAAUGACAUCCAAGGCACGACACGUUCUCCUGCUCUUAUUGCACAGUUCGGAUUCGUGCUGACAUCCCCUUGCAUGCCAGCAGCAGUACCGCCGGGUUGCCAGUACGGCGGCACCGCGGUCACCAGAGGGACGAUAAGGGCAGCUCUAUGGGAAGCGGCUCUCCUGGCUGCGGGAGCGGGACGCUGCGGGAGCGCUGCCCGCCGCGAGCUGCCGCGUCGUGGUUCCUCUCCGCGUGAAUUCUGCUCGGCCGUAGUGUGGAAUGGGGUUUGUGCCGUGCUGCACCUCCUCCCGUGGUUCCUGCGCGGAAGGCGGAGUGCCGGCACGGAGCCCGGCUCUGAUUGCGUUAAUUGGAGCGUCGUGAGCAUUCCUCUUUAAGGCAAAUAGGGACUGUUUGUUCUUAAGAAAUCCGUGCAGGAUGCUUCUUCUUUACGUCACAGCCAUCUGGAGACCUAUAAAAAGAUUAGACGACAAGCAUGGCAAUCACAUACUGAUCUACAGGCCAUUAGCAGGAGUUCAUUAGGGAGGUGGGAGGAAAAAGCAAACGUUUGCGUUCUGUGUCUCACAAUAUGCAGCUCGCCUUCCAAAGGCUUUUGGAAUAAGUAAGCUUUGUACUGUUGCGUUAUCUGGGAAUAAAAUUGCACGUAGUGU
rnacentral:lncRNA from 7 species